GGUGAAAAGCCCGCUCGCCGGAAGACCAAGGGUUCCUGUCCAACGUUAGUCGGGGCAGGGUGAGUCGACCCCUAAGGCGAGGCCGAAAGGCGUAGUCGAUGGGAAACAGGUUAAUAUUCCUGUACUUGGUGUUACUGCGAAGGGGGGACGGAGAAGGCUAUGUUGGCCGGGCGACGGUUGUCCCGGUUUAAGCGUGUAGGCUGGUUUUCCAGGCAAAUCCGGAAAAUCAAGGCUGAGGCGUGAUGACGAGGCACUACGGUGCUGAAGCAACAAAUGCCCUGCUUCCAGGAAAAGCCUCUAAGCAUCAGGUAACAUCAAAUCGUACCCCAAACCGACACAGGUGGUCAGGUAGAGAAUACCAAGGCGCUUGAGAGAACUCGGGUGAAGGAACUAGGCAAAAUGGUGCCGUAACUUCGGGAGAAGGCACGCUGAUAUGUAGGUGAGGUCCCUCGCGGAUGGAGCUGAAAUCAGUCGAAGAUACCAGCUGGCUGCAACUGUUUAUUAAAAACACAGCACUGUGCAAACACGAAAGUGGACGUAUACGGUGUGACGCCUGCCCGGUGCCGGAAGGUUAAUUGAUGGGGUUAGCGCAAGCGAAGCUCUUGAUCGAAGCCCCGGUAAACGGCGGCCGUAACAUUAACGGUCCUAAGGUAGCGAAAUUCCUUGUCGGGUAAGUUCCGACCUGCACGAAUGGCGUAAUGAUGGCCAGGCUGUCUCCACCCGAGACUCAGUGAAAUUGAACUCGCUGUGAAGAUGCAGUGUACCCGCGGCAAGACGGAAAGACCCCGUGAACCUUUACUAUAGCUUGACACUGAACAUUGAGCCUUGAUGUGUAGGAUAGGUGGGAGGCUUUGAAGUGUGGACGCCAGUCUGCAUGGAGCCGACCUUGAAAUACCACCCUUUAAUGUUUGAUGUUCUAACGUUGACCCGUAAUCCGGGUUGCGGACAGUGUCGUGGGUAGUUUGACUGGGGCGGUCUCCUCCUAAAGAGUAACGGAGGAGCACGAAGGUUGGCUAAUCCUGGUCGGACAUCAGGAGGUUAGUGCAAUGGCAUAAGCCAGCUUGACUGCGAGCGUGACGGCGCGAGCAGGUGCGAAAGCAGGUCAUAGUGAUCCGGUGGUUCUGAAUGGAAGGGCCAUCGCUCAACGGAUAAAAGGUACUCCGGGGAUAACAGGCUGAUACCGCCCAAGAGUUCAUAUCGACGGCGGUGUUUGGCACCUCGAUGUCGGCUCAUCACAUCCUGGGGCUGAAGUAGGUCCCAAGGGUAUGGCUGUUCGCCAUUUAAAGUGGUACGCGAGCUGGGUUUAGAACGUCGUGAGACAGUUCGGUCCCUAUCUGCCGUGGGCGCUGGAGAACUGAGGGGGGCUGCUCCUAGUACGAGAGGACCGGAGUGGACGCAUCACUGGUGUUCGGGUUGUCAUGCCAAUGGCACUGCCCGGUAGCUAAAUGCGGAAGAGAUAAGUGCUGAAAGCAUCUAAGCACGAAACUUGCCCCGAGAUGAGUUCUCCCUGACUCCUUGAGAGUCCUGAAGGAACGUUGAAGACGACGACGUUGAUAGGCCGGGUGUGUAAGCGCAGCGACGCGUUGAGCUAACCGGUACUAAUGAACCGUGAGGCUUAACC
rnacentral:rRNA from 1 species